rnacentral:rRNA from 1 species
UACGGAGGGUGCGAGCGUUGUCCGGAAUUAUUGGGCGUAAAGAGCUUGUAGGCGGUCUGUCGCGUCUGCUGUGAAAAUCCGGGGCUCAACCCCGGACUUGCAGUGGGUACGGGCAGACUAGAGUGUGGUAGGGGAGACUGGAAUUCCUGGUGUAGCGGUGAAAUGCGCAGAUAUCAGGAGGAACACCGAUGGCGAAGGCAGGUCUCUGGGCCACUACUGACGCUGAGAAGCGAAAGCAUGGGGAGCAAACAGG